AAGUCGUAACAAGGUUUCCGUAGGUGAACCUGCGGAAGGAUCAUUACUGUGCUCUGGGUCCCCUCGGGGGCCCGACACCCCACCCUUUGUAGUUACAUGACUAUCGUUGCUUCGGCGGGACGGCCCCCUCUUGGGGGCCGCCGGGUCCCAAAUCGCCCGGAGAGCGCCCGCCGGAGGACCACAAACUCUUGCCUUUUUGAACGAGAAGUCGGAGUGAAGAAUUUAAUAAUUCAAAACUUUCAACAACGGAUCUCUUGGUUCUGGCAUCGAUGAAGAACGCAGCGAAAUGCGAUAAGUAAUGUGAAUUGCAGAAUUCAGUGAAUCAUCGAAUCUUUGAACGCACAUUGCGCCCCUCGGCAUUCCGGGGGGCAUGCCUGUUCGAGCGUCAUUACAACCAUCAAGCACAGCUUGGCAAUGGGCACCGUCCGGCUACCUCUGCGACCACUCGCGAGCGCCGGGCGUGCCCCAAAACCGUCGGCAGAGUCACGCGGACCCGCCGGGCGUAGCAGAAAAGGAAGGCUCGCGCCGACCCCUCACGUCCAAUGCGACCGCGCCUCGCGCCGUAAAACCAAUGGCCCGCAAGGGUCGUCUCCACAAGGUUGACCUCGGAUCAGGUAGGGAUACCCGCUGAACUUAA
rnacentral:rRNA from 1 species